UUCCUUCCAGAACAAACAGCAGCUACAUAUUGUAGCUCCAUCCAGCUGGAGGGGGUACUCUGUGAUUUGCUCAGGCUCAAUGCGCUGGUAUUUUUCUACACCUCCCUGAGCUUUUAAUUAGAUGAGCCCAUUUUACAUGUAUUUGUCUGCUGGAAAGGUUAUCUGUGCUGGAGCUGACCUGCAGAGACAAGGUUGAGCCUAGCGGUCUUAAUAGAAAAGGUUUUCAGCUAUGACUGCCGUACUUGAUUGCAUUGUAAUGGAGGAAGAAUUCCCUCUACGUAGUUACACUGCCUUUUAUCUGGAGGACACUCCACGCGACAGUACAUUUUAAGGCUUUUUUCUGACAGAACGAUCCUAAAAACGCGCUUGUCCUCUACAAGGAAGAUUGCGACGUUCUCAAUUCAGCAUUUCCAAGUCGUACGGCACUGUCAUUUAAUUACGGGACAAUCCACCACAACUGAGCAAGCAUUUUCAUCAUUGAUAAUGUUGGUAGCAGGCAACUGAGACAAAAUGAUUACAAACCUAUGUUGCGCUCAAUAGUCCUUUAGAGGAUUUCUCUCUUAAUAGCGCUGCCUCAUUCAUGUUUGGUUCAGUACAUUUGUUCUUUAAAAAAGGCAUAGAUUAGAAGAGUUUCAGGGUAGGUUAAUAACUCAACUGAAAAUGGCUGCUUGCAUUGUCAAAGUCUGUUCCUGCAGUUGCCUGGUGCUUUCUUCAGUUCUUCCACACUGCAGCUUUGGCCCAGUUGGUAAACAGCUUAAGUCCAGACAUCUUUUCAUUCUCUGCGCAGCGGAUUGAAAUAAAAAUGCAUAUAAGUGGCGACUGACUGGCGCUGGCCUGACAAUAGCCUGUAACAUUAUGCAAGGGUAUUUACAUAGGAAUAAGGCCUUGGUAAAGAAGACAGGGGCAAUUAAUGACUAGGGCCACACAUAUAAGGAAAGUUUGUCCAAUCCUUUCUUCAAUAAAGAUCUUUUGUAAAGUGCUAUGGAAACUCAUGGAGGCCCCCAAACAGAUUAGGAGAGGGACUUUUGUGGUGUGUUUUUUGUAGUUUUUUUUUUUUAAACUUCAAGCUAAAAGGGCCAAAUUUUGUAAAGGUAAAAUGUAAUUCUUCUGCAGUUUAGAUUUUUUUUUUUCCUAUUGUGACUCCCCCACACUCCUUUUUUUUUUUUUUUCUACUGGAAUCAGUUGAGUGCAGCUACUUUUAUAGGAGGAAGCAUGGAAAAAAAGAAAGAAAGCGAGCACUGUACCUCCACUGGGGAGCACAGUGGAGGCAGAGGGCUUGUAGGAGACCUGUCGCAACGCUUGACUCCUUCUGCUCAUACAGGUUUGGCAUGUAAGCUAAUUUGUAAGCAUUUAGGGCCUGACUCUGAUCUCCCUUUCACCGCUCGCUCGGGCUGUCAAAGUGCUUCCUAGCAAAAGUGAGGUAGGGACCCCACCAGCUGGAUUUGGCCCUUUCUCCACUCUUUUGUCCUGGUGGAUUUGGGUGUAAGUAAUUCUGACAAAAUGAGGAGCCCCACGUCCUAGCUUGAGUUGUGGUGCUGACAGUGGAGCAUCUUCAGGGAUUUAGAAUUUAACCCCAAGGCCUCAUCCCUGCAGAUGGGUUGCCCUCCCUAAGGCUGACAUACAGGGGAGUGUUUACACACUUCUCUUUUCCUCCUGUAAGGGCUCAGCUCAAGGCUUGUGGAUACCAGCGAUGAGUCUACUUCUACUUCCCUAGGGGACACCAGCCCAAGUCACCACGGGCCAAAGACAGCACAAAAAUCUUAGUGAGGCCUGUUCCAGUGGCCAGUGAGGCCGGCUCUGGUGACUCAGGCUUGAGACUUGCAUGGCCUCACUGAGGACCUCAUUUUCCAUGGGCAGCCAUGACACAUCUGUUGAUGGCAGCUUAUACAUGUCCAUAGCAGCUGAGAAAUUUCACUUUCAAGCUCAGUAUUCAAAGACUUUGUUCUUAUUCUGAUGACUCGUAGAGGACCUCUGGGUGGGUUGAUGCUGUAGUCUUUUAAGCACACUCUCCAGAUAGCUGUAGAUCCUACUGCUAAACUCAUCAUAUAUGUUCAAGAAGACAACACUUUGGUGGGCAUCAGUGAGGAAAUCCCGACUGAUUUAUCUGCAGUUCUGCCAAGUUUGAAGUCAUUUAAUGAUCUACUCAUUGAAUCUUUUUCCUCUUAAGUAACUUUUAUAGCAGAAUAUAACUCAACUCAAGAAAAAUGUAUGCUUUCUGGGAAGUAUAUUCUUCCAGUCAUGCCACUUUCCUUAUUCAGAAUAAAUUAAAAGAUCAACAAUUCCAUGGGAAUUAAUUGCUGAAAUGCUUUCUGGACACUGAAGAGGGGGAAACAAAUGUUAAUAACACAAAUGUGUGGUUCCUGUGAGAGGAGUGUGGAUGGAGCAGAGAAUGUGAUUCUGCUUCAGCCCUGGAAAGCUGCAGAAAUCAAUGCUUCAUUCAAGGCUAUUGAUCAGUACUAAAUUAAUUAGACUUCAAGGCUUAUGGCAGUUGAUAAGACAACUUGUUAAUUUAGUCAAUGAUAGUGUUUUCCCUAAAGCAGCAAAUACCCUCUUUCUCAGAAAAGACAUUUCUAGCACUUGCUACCCAACAUUUUUCCCCCCUCUUUUCUUUAAAAAAAAAAAAAAAUUCACUUUACAUUUAAAUUAAGAUAAGAAUUGGAUGGAGAGAUGCUUCCAUUUACCCCUAUUUGCCUUCCUUUGCUCUAACGUUGGAGCGGGUUGUUGAUAACAUCUGAUGUAAUUUAAUAGGACGGCAGCAUAACAUUUAGCUUCUUCGACCCCGGCCCAUUGACGGUGAUGUUCAUUUGGGAAAGCUGCUGGGGGAGGAGGAGGAGGAGGAGGGAGCAGACCCACUUUCUAACUGCAUUUUUAAAAUG